rnacentral:snRNA from 1 species
AUUGCUUCUCACCUUUUGACUAAGAUCAAGUGUAGUAUCUGUUCUUAUCAAUUUAAUAUAUGAUAAGUCCUCUAUCUGAGAACAACAUAUUAAAUGGAUUUUUGGAAGUAGAAGUUUACUCUGUCCACUCUACUCAUCGACCUGGUAUUGCAGUACCUCCAGGAACGGAGGUACUCCG